GGGCCUGUGCAGACGGGUGAGUACGCGUGGACGUGCCUUUCACUACGGAAUAGCUUUUGGAAACGAAAGGUAAUACCGUAUACGCCCUCCGGGGGAAAGAUUUAUCGGUGAAAGAUCGGUCCGCGUUAGAUUAGCUAGUUGGUGAGGUAACGGCUCACCAAGGCUACGAUCUAUAGCUGGUCUGAGAGGAUGAUCAGCCACACUGGGACUGAGACACGGCCCAGACUCCUACGGGAGGCAGCAGUGGGGAAUAUUGCACAAUGGGCGCAAGCCUGAUGCAGCCAUGCCGCGUGAAUGAUGAAGGCCUUAGGGUUGUAAAAUUCUUUCGCCAAGGAUGAUAAUGACAGUACUUGGUAAAGAAGCCCCGGCUAACUUCGUGCCAGCAGCCGCGGUAAUACGAAGGGGGCUAGCGUUGUUCGGAAUUACUGGGCGUAAAGCGCACGUAGGCGGACUUUUAAGUCAGAUGUGAAAUCCCGAGGCUCAACCUCGGAACUGCAUUUGAAACUGGGAGUCUAGAGAUCAGGAGAGGUUAGUGGAAUACCGAGUGUAGAGGUGAAAUUCGUAGAUAUUCGGAGGAACACCAGUGGCGAAGGCGGCUCACUGGCUCGAUAUUGACGCUGAGGUGCGAAAGUGUGGGGAGCAAACAGGAU
rnacentral:rRNA from 1 species